GGCGAGGGGUGUUGAAACGCAUGGAAGAGCAGGAAGAAACACGGACGAGCGCUGAUGAACUGCAACUGUGUGCGUGCAACAGCACCAAACGGCAUGUGACGACGGACAGUGUGUGGAUGUGUGUGUGUAAUUUUAGGCAGCGAAGAUGGAUCGAGGUUAUGUUUACAAAGUGAAAGAGUUUGAUGCGGAAGCGUCUUUGUGAUAAACAUGUAUUUUAUUUGCAUAAUUUCAGUGUUAAAGUUUGUAAUGUGAACUUAAAAGUAAUGACCAAUGGUGCUAUUCACUUGUGUGCUGUUGGCGAAUAUUGAAGCGUUAAAAUAUUGCAGCUUCCUAUGUUAGUUUGUUGUGCUUAGUGUGAAGCAAAAAUGUGUGCUAAAGUGUUAUAAAUUAGAAAAAUGUAUACGUAUCCGUCUAAUGUUUGGUUGUACCUAUCUAAUUUUCCAUAUUUUCGGGUGUCCUUAUCGUUUACCAGGAGAAAACGAUAGAUGGAGGUUAGAUACGUGCAGCUAUUUGCCUCCGCAGGAAGUGUUCUUCAGAAGUGUUCCAAGCUGUCCGAAGACACACAAAUCCGCAAUCCACAAUCCAAGCACACAAAUCCGAUUCACCUCGUAUGCACCCAGCGGAUUUCAUGCAAAGGAUAUUGGAAAGCCAUCAAAGAAGUGGGCAUGAUGGAAAGGACACUUUGAUUCUUUUUACUUUCAGAUUUCUUAUCCUUAUUUUUGUUUACACCAACCUUGGAUCGUCGGCGCGGGCCUUAUGGGAACUGCGCGGUUAGAGCAACAACCGGAUGAGCAUUUUGUUGCAGGCGGAAAUUGUCUCAAGUUUGGGAAUUGAAGAGAGUUACAGCACACUGUGAACAUCGUUGUAAACAAUCGAUGGUACACCGUGCAAGAAAAGUCCCAUCAAACAACACGUCUAAAGCUUCAUGCAUCCUGUUGUUGGCAUCCUGGCUGCUGAUAUCUGCAUCUAUUAUUUAAGUAUAACUGCCAAAUGCAAAAUCAUCUCCAGCUAUUUUUGCUUCAAAUGCAUCAAACUUUUGUUAAUUUUCGAUUUUUUCUAUUGCUAAACUCUGCGCAUUUCUUCUUAUACCCUUCAUAGGAUUCAGUAUUGUGGACUGCUCAUUUAAAAUCACCAUUAUCUGUGCGCUGCGUGCAUCUAUUUUCAUUAACAGCAUCCGACAACGAAGGCAGCAGCUUCCAGAAUGCUCUGUAGAAGUAAUUGAAAAGACUGCUUGAUUUGCUCCUGCUGCAGUCUGGUGUUCAUCGUCGGUGAUCAUCAUUAUUAGUGACGAAGGCAGCACAGGCAAAUUUAUCACAACAGGACCAGUUGCUCGUUCAGUCGUUAUGUACGUUAUGCGCUUGUCGAUGGCACUUAAUUACCACCAUCAACUAUCUUGCCUGGCGGACGGAUCUGGCUAGGAACACAGAUCCUCUAGGAGCCGCUAUCACCGAUGCAGAAGCACUGGUGGGUAAUUGUUGUCUUACAACAGCGGACAUCAUAUCACGCUGAUUCUUCGGAGCAUGAACUUCGACAAGCGAUGCAAUCGAUGGUACUGCAGAACCCGCCAAUGCCUGUUGUCUACCGAUCUUCAUGCCUGAUUCCUGCGGUAGAGCAUCAGCAACCGGUACCACUGAUGGCGCAGCAGUACUAGUUGACGGUUGCUGUCCAUGUUGCUGGCCUAACGGACGGAAUGGUGCAAGAACAUCAGCUGUUCAUCAACACGGACUGGCAUUCUUUGUUGACUCGCGCUGACCAGCCACUGAAACCACCGAAGGCACUGCACUUGUUGUCGGAAGUUGUCCAACAACACGGACCGGCAAUCUGGGGGGACGGAUAGCACGAGGAAUGGCAACCGGAACCACCGAUGGCACUGCACUUGUCGUCGGAAGUUGUCCAACAACACGGACUGGUACAUCUGACUGACGAAGCUACUUAUCACAUACCCGCGUUUUAUGUCCCCAUUCUUGGUGUUUCCGGGUUACUCGCCAUCGCGCUGUAGUCGGAUCAUACUGCACCUGUCCUGCCUCGAUUAAUGCCUCCCCAAAGACAAAAUUAGAGCACGCGUUCCUAUUCCUCAUCCUCCGGCGCUGUCUGGAGAAUGUGGGAGUCACUGCUCUAUAAAAACCACCGGACUACCACAAACUGGAAACAGCGGAAAACCCCGUGGGUCACCGGCCACCAUGCUAAAUUGAAGCAAAGUUGAACUAAUCUGCCGCGUCGUGUAUCAGAUUGCAACUGCUAAUAAUUUCGUCGUCUGAGGCGGACUGUUAUGGAGGUACCAAAUCUUCAGUGAUGAUGAAUGCGUUCACGCUUCUACGAGCCGGUAAUUGGCGGUAUCCAGAUUAUCAUCGUACUGUUAGCUUACCUAAGCUACCGAAAUUAGCGACAGUGUAAAAUCUGUGCUGUAAGAAUUACGAAUGGUCGUGGUAGACGCGUUAGGAUUGCAAGGCGAUAAUUGCGCUCUGAAAAUGCUAGCACAGAUGUUUGGGCCACAGAGGUGACGUUCCGAGAUUGUAAAAACAUGCCGGCCCACAGUUUCAGAUAAGCCGUUCUCAUCAUAGCCGUACCAUGUACGGUCGGCUAGUUACACUUCAUCACGAAGGACAAUCACAUCUAGGUGACGGAAUGCUGCCAAAACGAUGAAGCUGGCUUAGUCCUCGAUGACGACGCAACUCCUGUACGUUCGUCGUCAUACUAUCAUUUUAACUGAAGGCAUGUUUGUUUAGGCGGCUACAACAAAUUGUUUGAACAUGUUCAAUGAAACAAACAUGUUGUUUUGGCUUCUCACAAUUAUUGAUGAAUGCUGGAAAUCUCCGUGAUAGCCGUUUUAUUGCGCUGAAUUAGGUUUGUAUGAAAAAUAGUGUAUUUUUAGAAUAUUUAAUUAUCAAUAAAAUAACGGUCAAUUUGAAA